GGGCGGUUAGCUCAGUUGGUUAGAGUACUUGCUUGACAUGCAAGGGGUCACUGGUUCAAAUCCAGUACCGCCCACGA
rnacentral:tRNA from 1 species